AGAGAGAGACAUGCGCGCAUAUCAAUAAGCGGAGGAAAAGAAACUAACAAGGAUUCCCCUAGUAACGGCGAGUGAAGCGGGAAGAGCUCAAAUUUGAAAUCUUAAAGGGUUUCCCUUUACGAAUUGUAGUUUAAAGAAGUGUUUUCUGUUGAGGUUUUGGUAAAAGUUCUUUGGAAUAGGACAUCAUAGAGGGUGAGAAUCCCGUAUUUGACCUUUACUUUCAACUUUGUGAUACACUUUCAAAGAGUCGGAUUGUUUGGGAAUGCAGUCCAAAAUGGGUGGUAAAUUUCAUCUAAAGCUAAAUAUUGGCGAGAGACCGAUAGCGAACAAGUACCGUGAGGGAAAGAUGAAAAGAACUUUGAAAAGAGAGUUAAACAGUACGUGAAAUUGUCAAAAGGGAAGCGUUUGACACCAGUGUUGUUUCUCUGAAAAUCAAUUAAAGAACUGUUUAUGCUAAGUUGUUUAGACUUUAUCAGCUAACUGUUUAGUUUUGAGCUUUUCUUUAGUGCACUUUUCAGUUAACAAGUCAACAUCUAAUUUCUUUUGCUGUAAAAAAGCUUGAGGAAGGUGGCUUGAGAUUCGUCUUAAGUGUUUAUAGCCUCUUGCCUAUGCAGUCGGAGAGAUUGAGGUCUGCAGCGUAGAUCCUUCGGGGCUAAAUGCAUUUGUGCUAAGUUAUAGCAUUUUAUAGACAACUUGUUGACUAUGAUUUGUCUUGUAGCUUACUCGCUUAUGUUAUUUUACCUACGCUUAGGAUGUUGACGCAUGAGAUAUACGC
rnacentral:rRNA from 1 species